ACGCUAUCACUCCUACGGGGAGGCAUGCAGAUUGGGGAAUAUUGCACAAUGGGGGGAAACCCUGAUGCAGCCAUGCCGCGUGUGUGAAGAAGGCCUUCGGGUUGUAAAGCACUUUCAGUAGGGAGGAAGGUAGUGUAGUUAACACCUGCAUUAUUUGACGUUACCUACAGAAGAAGCACCGGCUAACUCCGUGCCAGCAGCCGCGGUAAUACGGAGGGUGCGAGCGUUAAUCGGAAUUACUGGGCGUAAAGCGCAUGCAGGCGGCCUGUUAAGUCAGAUGUGAAAGCCCGGGGCUUAACCUCGGAAUUGCAUUUGAAACUGGCAGGCUAGAGUCUUGUAGAGGGGGGUAGAAUUUCAGGUGUAGCGGUGAAAUGCGUAGAGAUCUGAAGGAAUACCAGUGGCGAAGGCGGCCCCUGGACAAAGACUGACGCUCAGAUGCGAAAGCGUGGGGAGCAAACAGGAUUAGAUACCCUGGUAG
rnacentral:rRNA from 1 species